GGUGAAUCAUUUUCUGGAAAAAAAAAAAAAAAAAAAAUCCAGAAUCAACCACUAGAUGUCAGUGUUGGACAAGCACAGAGAGAUUGGCAGCGCCUCCCGCAUUAGCGUCUGGCUCCAUUUCAGCUAUCAAGUUUCUCUGCAAAGGAGAGGGAGUUUGUGUAACUGAAGCAAAGAUUUUGCUUUCUCACUUCUCGCCCCGUCUUGCGGAAAACAGCCUGAUGCUCUGGAUCAGCCUUCCUGGCCUACCUUUGUGUAAAAUUAAUCAAAUCUAACAAGGAAAUACUGCUCUUGUGGACCCAGGUUCCAAAAACCCUUGAAUGAGGGUCUUUAUUUAUUUUUUGCUACAGUGACACUUGCUCUGAUUUCAGAUCAUUUUCUAAAAAUGGCAGCUACUUGGUGUGUCAUUUUUAAAAGAAAACGUGGUCACAUUAUAGCUGUGCUAAACAGCCUCUUUCAGUCCUCUUUCAUUUUACACUUUUACUGGGAGGUUUGAAAAGAGGCAAUGUAAUUAGGUUCCAGUUGUCUCUGUUGAGCUCAGAGAUGCUCACCUUUCCUUGGGGGAAGAUGAAUUCCUGUUAUGUUGGUUUCUUAUCACAACUUGGAUUAUGGAGGAAAUCUGUGGCGAAUUCAGACUAAAGCUAGUGAUAAAAUCAACUCAGCUCUUUGAAAAGGCCACCUGCUCUGGGGUUUUGGAAUUCAGAUUUUCGGGGCUACCCCUCUUGAACAAUUUUCAAGGGUAGAGUUUCAGUUUCUUGCCCUUUAUAGAAGGCCAGCUCAGACACAUUUAGAAAACGUUUUGUGGAGUAAUUUGGAAUUGACACAUCCCUUCAUUGGUUUACCUUAAUCCCUUUUGCCCUCCAGUUGGCCAACAGGAAGAAAUGGUUUAGUGACACAAAGUCAAACGUGGCUUUCGUGUGUGGCCACACUUCCUGGAGACCAGUGGAGGGGGCUGGAGGUGACAGCGCCUCGUGGUGUGGAACAGGGCCCUGCUGCAGCACCCUGCGUGGCUGCUGGCCAGGAACUGGCCGUGUCCUGGGGAAUGAGUCAUCAGGCACAAGCAGCUUGCUCUUGGAGGCAGGCCCAGCGUUGGUUUCAAGGUCCUCUUGGAUC
ensembl:lncRNA